CGCUCUCUCUGCAAAACCGAAAGGAGGAGCAACUUGCCAUUUGGAUAUAUACUAGCUGUGUUUGUGCCCUCACUCAUGGUCCAGACUUUUUUCAAAUAGGACAUGUAGUUUGUCUGCAGCGAGCGUUUUGGUAGAAACUGCGCCUCCCAUUCAUUAUAAUGGGAAAUGACCACAGACAAGUGCGCACACCAUCUUUGGACCUUGAGUGUGACGCGAUCGGGAGGGGGAGGCGGUCGCGCUGGGGGCGGCGCGACGCGGCUCGGGCCCGACAGUGCCCCACCGGGGCCCUAGUGUUAUUAUUUUUCCUCCGCUUUAAACUGGAAAAUGGCCCACUUCCCACUGGCGAAAACUCAGGAAAUUUGGCAGGACGACCGGGCCUGGUGAAAAAUUCGAUAUUCUGAAGUAGCCCAAACAAUAAAAUGCAAAAUGGCUCCAUAGCGCCCCCUAAGGUGAAAAUUCACAUGACGGCUGUACGCUUUGUCAUAUUGACACAAAAAUUGACACACACAUGUAUCUCAAUAAGAUCUACAAAAAAGUCAGUGCGGGCGUAUCUGUCAAAUGUAUGGUUAAUGGGUUAUUUUGCAUUUUUUGCAGAUCUGCACACAUUGGAAUUUCGCUAACUCCUCCGAAGGCUUUCGUUCGACCGGCACCACAUUUGCGCAGGCCAAUCUACCCCCCAUGGCCAUUAAAAGUUGUACAAAUCAUGACGCUGCACCCCACGGUUUACGUUCUAGGGGGCGCCAAAGAUAACCCAAAAUCCACAUUCUUAAAAGUCUUAUAACUUUUUAUUUUUGUCCUCACUGCCCUCCAAGUUUUCUAGGAUGAUGCAAUGUCCAGCCAUCAACACAUUUGUGAAGGAAUUUUUACUCCCCAAAAGAGCGCCCCCCCAUGGCAGGAGAAAAAAGUCAAUUUUUUCUUGUCCCCAUACAUGAAAAUACACAUUGUUGAGUGUCAUGCCUGAACGCUUUGUCAUAUUGACACAAAAAUUGACAAUCACGUGUAUCUCAAUUAGAUCUACAAAAAAGUCAAAAAGGUCGUAUCUGUAUAAUGUACGGUUAAAGGGCUAUUUCGCAUUUUUUGCCGAUUCGCACACAUUGGAAUGUGGCUAUCUCCUCCUAAGGCUUUCGUCCCACCGAUACCAAAUUUGCUCAGGGCAAUCUACACCCCAUGCCCAUUCAAAGUUGUAAAAAUCAUGACGCUGCACCCCACGGUUUACGUUCUAGGGGGCACCAAAGAUGACCCAAAAAUCCACAUUCUUAAAAGUCAUUUUGGCCACUGCAGGAGUACAGAGUACUGCAGUUCUAGGGGGCGCCAAAGAUGACCCAAAAAUCCACAUUCUUAAAAGUCUUUUUGGCCACUGCAGGAGUACAGAGUACUGCAGGAUACACACACAUACACACACACACACGCACACACACACACACACACAGAGUCUGGUUUUUAGCACCUGCAAAAACAUGCUAUUUACAUAUUUGACAAGAAUGCAGAGGCUCCUUUUGCCCCUGAAAAAAAUCAAAUUUCAAACACAACUUGACUGGUCAUUUCUCCAAAAGACAACCAUGAAGCUCCAUCCAAACCUGAAGCAGGCAGUUGGUGCAUGUGUACAGUAACCUGAGGGGAGUGAGGUGAGUGCUUCUGAGGAGAACAUGAGCAGUGAAGAUUCACCUUGGAGCUAGAACAGAGACAUGCACAUGAUUAUACAGGGGCAGGGGCUCAAGUUUUUUCCAGUCGUUUAUACAAUAUGGAAAUUAAUGUGAAAUUAAAACACAAAGUAUUAAUAGAAAGGUGAUGACUGUCCUGUGUAGGUGACAGUGAUAUCCAAUAGGCUAGGCACUCACGAGGCUGGCUGUGGCAAGUGUAAGUGAAAGCAACACGCACUGGCAGGAAGAACAGCAAACGCCGAUGAAGGAAAAGGGUCUUUGCAGUGAUGGGCGUUACCAGAGAGGGCGAUGGCCAGAGGACACAAAUGGGACGGGAAGGCAGCACGUUGGGGGGGUGGGGGGACGCGACACGGCUCGGGCCCGCCAGUGCCCCAACGGGGUCCUAGUUCUUUCUUCUUUCUUUCUUUCUUUCUUUAGGGCCCGAGCGUAGCUGCUAAGCAGCUGCGAGAGCCCUCUUGUUCCUGAUGGAUUCUUCUUUCGUUAUUUUUCCUCCGCUUUAAACUGGAAAAUGGCCCACUUCCCACUGGCGAAAACUCAGGAAAUUUGGCAGGACGACCGGGCCUGGUGAAAAAUUCGAUAUUCUGAAGUCGCCCAAACAAAAAAAUGAAAAAUGGCUCCAUAGCGCCCCCUAUGGUGAAAACUCACCUGACGCCUGUACGCUUUGUCAAAAUGACACAAAAUUUGACACACAUGUGUAUCUCAAUAAGAUCUACGAAAAAGUCAGUGCGGGCGCAUCUGUGAAAUGUACGGUUAGAGGGUUAUUUCGCAUUUUUUGCAGAUCUGCACACAUUGGAAUUUCGCUAACUCCUCCGAAGGCAUUCGUUCCACCGGCACCACAUUUGCUCAGGCCAAUCUACACCCCAUGGCCAUUAAAAGUUGUACAAAUCAUGACGCUGCACCCCACGGUUUACGUUCUAGGGGGCGCCAAAGAUGACCCACAAAUCCACAUUCUUAAAAAUCUUAUAACUUUUUAUUUUUGUCCUCAUUGGCCUCCAAGUUUUCUAGGAUGAUGCAAUGUCCAGCCAUCAACACAUUUGUGAAGGAAUUUUUACUCCCCAAAACAGCGCCCCCCCAUGGCAGGACAAAAAAGGCCAUUUUUUCUUGUCCCCUAAGGUGAAAAUACACAUUGUUCAGUGUCACGCCUAUACGCUUUGUCAUAUUGACACAAAAUUUGACACACACGUGUAUCUCAAUAAGAUCUACGAAAAAGUCAAUGGGCACAUAUCUGUAAAAUGUACGGUUAAAGGGCUAUCUUGCAUUUUUUGCCGAUUCGCACACAUUAGAAUGUGGCUAACUCCUCCUAAGGCUUUCGUUCUACUGACACCAAAUUUGCUCAGGCCAAUCUACACCCCAUGGCCAUUCAAAGUUGUACAAAUCAUGACGCUGCACCCCACGGUUUAGGUUCUAGGGGGCGCCAAAGAUGACCCAAAUAUCCACAUUUUUAAAAGUCUUAUAACUUUUUAUUUUUGUCCUCACUGGCCUCCAAGUUUUCUAGGAUGAUGCAAUGUGCAGCCAUCAACACAUCUGUGAAGGAAUUUUUUCUCCCCAAAAGAGCGCCCCCCCCCCCAUGGCAGGAGAAAAAGUCAAGUUUUUCCAGCCCAUCGCUUAAUGGCUCAAACGCAUUGCUCUCCCGCUAAAACCAAAAGGAGGAGCAACUUGCCAUUUGGAUAUGUCCUAGCUGUGUUUGUGCCCUCACUCAUGGUCCAGAGUUUUUUCAAAUAGGACAUGUAGUUUGUCUGCAGCGAGCGUUUUGGUAGAAACUGUGCCUCCCAUUCAUUAUAAUGGGAAAUGACCAAAGACAGGUGCGCACACCAUCUUUGGACCUUGACUUUGACGUCACAGUUUGAGAUACAAAUGUUAUUUGACCUCUGACCUUUGGUGGACACCCUAACCUUUCAACCCGCGAAAACGGCGUUUCAAUAGCUCUUACGGCUUUCCUACAAAUACACUUUGUUCAGCUACUCCUACUGUCCUUUAAGCUCUGCUUCUCAGAUCAUCAAAGAGUGUGCACGUGUGUAAUGAGCGCAUAUUGAAUGUUAAUUAUGUUAAAUAUGUUAAUUAUUAGAAGAAAAAACAACAACAGUCCUUUUGGACAAAAUUUCUUUUUAUUACAGAAUUAGAAUAAUGGAAGCAUAGUCCAAGGAAACCAUUCAAGUGAUGUCAUACCUCAUAAUUUAUUGAGAUGUUGGCUAGUCUGGGCAUUUCUUCAUUCAUCAGGUUUCCUGCAUGCAUACUAACAGAGCACAUCAGUAGCAGUGAGUGAUAAGUAUGAGUGUGUCAUUGUGUAAGAAAGAAAGUGGUUUACUUACACAUCCAUAGAAAAUAGGUGGUUGAGCACAGCACGCAAACAAAGCUUUGCCACAACGGUUGAACUUCCCAAGUAGCUGAUACCAAGGUCACACAAUCAUGGUGAGCAAAGGUCAAACCAGGCCAGGCACUCACGAGGCUGGCUGUGGCAAGUGUAAGUGAAAGCAACACGCAAUGGCAGGAAGAACAGCAAACACCGAUGAAGGAAAAGGGUCUUUGCAGUGAUGGGCGUCACCAGAGAGGGCGAUGGCCAGAGGGCACGAAUGGGACGGGGAGGCGGUCGCGCUGGGGGCGGCGCGACGCGGCUCGGGCCCGACAGUGCCCCAACGGGGCCCUAGUUCUUUCUUUCUUUCUUCUUUUUCCUCCCCUUUGAACUGGAAAAUGGCCCACUUCCCACUGGCGAAAACUCAUGAAAUUUGGCAGGACGACCGGGCCUGGUGAAAAAUUCGAUAUUCUGAAGUCGCCCAAACAAUAAAAUGCAAAAUGGCUCCAUAGCGCCCCCUAAGGUGGAAAUUCACACUAUUGACUGUCACGCCUGUACGCUUUGUCAUAUUGACACAAAAAUUGACACACAUAUGUAUCUCAAUAAGAUCUACAAAAAAGUCAGUGCGGCCGUAUCUGUCAAAUGUACGGUUAAAGGGUUAUUUCGCAUUUUUUUCCGAUCCGCACACAUUGGAAUUUCGCUAACUCCUCCGAAGGCUUUCGUUCCACCGGCACCACAUUUGCUCAGGCCAAUCUACACCCCGUGGCCAUUAAAAGUUAUCAAAAUCAUGAUGCUGCACCCCAAGGUUUAGGUUCUAGGGGGCGCCAAAGAUAACACUAAAAUCCACAUAUUUAAAAGUCUUAUAACUUUUUAUUUUUGUCCUCACUGGCCUCCAAGUUUUCUAGGAUGAUGCAAUGUCCAGCCAUCAACACAUUUAUGAAGGAAUUUUUACUCCCCAAAAGAGCGCCCCCCCAUGGCAGGAGAAAAAAGUCCAUUUUUUCUUGUCCCCUAAGGUGAAAAUACAUAUUGUUGAGAUUCACGCCUAUACGCUUUGUCAUAUUGACACAAAAUUUGACAAUCACGUGCCUUGCCUGGUAUCAUUUUUUUCAGCACAACCUCACCUGUGCGAAUUUACAGUUAUUUUAUCAUGUUGACAUACUGAAUUUACACAAUGGACCCAAAUUCACACACAAAACAUAAAAUCCGAGUGGAAAAAAGUAACAUUUUUACUGUGAAAACCACAAAUAUGUGUGAUGAACUGUUUUUAAAACUUAAACUUCAAAUAAAAAUUGUAAACUUCAAAACAUAUGCAAAUUUUUAACAAAGAACAUAGUGAUUUACCUCUAUUUACAUCAAAAUGCAGGCAAUGGCCCAGGCGUUCUUUGUAAAAUUAUUUACAAAACACUGUAUAGUCUCACAAAUGUCACUUUUUAUUUAUGCCACUACAAAAAAACAUGAUGUAAAUGAUGCAUGAUGUAAAACAUGAUGUAAAAAACUUGUGUAGAUCCUCCUCUAUGUCAGUCCAUGUGUAAUUUUUCCAUAAUUCUUUGUUUUUUGCAGCAUUUUUGUUAGUGUAACUGCAGAUUGUGCUGACAGUGUCUAUGGCACAAAAAAAAAAAAAAUUAAAAUGCCUCAACAUGAACCCCUGGUGGUCUCUGAGGGUGAAACCUGCUAACUGCUGCAGCUCUGUCAGCUUCAGUCUCCCAUGCAGAGCUCUGAGCGCAUGUGUGGCUCUGCACCCUUAGCAGCGUUGCUAACUCCUCAGUAAGGAAAGCCUGCUUCAUGUCAGAGUCUCUAAACUCCAGAAGAAGUCGAUAAAAGUCCCUUUCUUUCUAAAAAAAGUCGUUAGGGGGUCUGAAAAGUCAUUGAAUCUAACAACAAAGUCGCUAGGUUUGCAACUACGUGUCCCAGACUGCAUCCCUGCUGAGAGUCCCUCCCUCCCUUCUCAUGUUGCAGGAAGAACGUAAGCGCCCGCCCCUUGUCAAUCAGUCACCAUAUAAUUUUGGAUUGGUUGUUGUGGUGAAGUUUUACACCAAUAGGAGAGAUGUUGUGGUGUGUUUUUUUUUCUUUUGGCAAGCCUUUUCCGCCUGUAAGACCUGUCGCUAAUGUCUGCAUGCUAUGUUUUCCUGUCUCAUACAGCGCGAUCGAGCGCCGAACGUGAUCAAAAUAAGCAGAAAAAAAGUAUCGCGGACAUAAUUUAUCAUAACUCUGGUUUUAUUUGGCCUAUCAACACAAUUUAAAAACUGGUAUAUAGGUUGAGGUCCUCACUUUUGAGAUAAGUUGAAACGGAGAGUCAACGAGGCUCCGUCUUGCAGCUACAUCCGGUUAAAUAUGUCAUGUGACUUGAACGCACACACAGACACACACACACGCACACACACACACACACACACACACACACUCAGAGUCUGGUUUUUAGCACCUGCAAAAACAUGCUAUUUACAUAUUUGACAAGAAUGCAGAGGCUCCUUUUGCCCCUGAAAAAAAUCAAAUUUCAAACACAACUUGACUGGUCAUUUCUCCAAAAGACAACCAUGAAGCUCCAUCCAAACCUGAAGCAGGCAGUUGGUGCAUGUGUACAGUAACCUGAGGGGAGUGAGGUGAGUGCUUCUGAGGAGAACAUGAGCAGUGAAGAUUCACCUUGGAGCUAGAACAGAGACAUGCACAUGAUUAUACAGGGGCAGGGGCUCAAGUUUUUUCCAGUCGUUUUUACAAUAUGGAAAUUAAUGUGAAAUUAAAACACAAAGUAUUAAUAGAAAGGUAAUGACUGUCCUGUGUAGGUGACAGUGAUAUCCAAUAGGCUAGGCACUCACGAGGCUGGCUGUGGCAAGUGUAAGUGAAAGCAACACGCACUGGCAGGAAGAACAGCAAACGCCGAUGAAGGAAAAGGGACUUUGCAGUGAUGGGCGUUACCAGAGAGGGCGAUGGCCAGAGGACACAAAUGGGACGGGGAGGCAGCACGUUGGGGGGGGGGGGGGGGGUGGGGCGACACGGCUCGGGCCCGCCAGUGCCCCAACGGGGUCCUAGUUCUUUCUUCUUUCUUUCUUUCUUUCUUUAGGGCCCGAGCGUAGCUGCUAAGCAGCUGCGAGAGCCCUCUUGUUCCUGAUGGAUUCUUCUUUUGUUAUUAUUUAUUAGGGCCCGAGCCAGCUGCAGAGCAGCCGGGCGUAGGCCCUAUUAUUCCCCAAGUGGUUUUUCUUUGUUUCUUUCUUUCUUAGGGCCCGAGCGUAGCUGCUAAGCAGCUGCGAGAGCCCUCUUGUUCCUGCAUGUUUCCUUCUUUUGUUAUUUAUUAUUAGGGCCCGAGCGUAGCUGCUAAGCAGCUGCGAGAGCCCUCUUGUUCCUGCAUGUUUCCUUCUUUUGUUAUUAUUAUUAGGGCCCGAGCCAGCUGCAGAGCAGCCGGGCGUAGGCCCUAUUAUUCCCCAAGUGGUUUUUCUUUGUUUCUUUCUUUCUUUUUUCUUUUUCCUCCCCUUUGAACUGGAAAAUGGCCCACUUCCCACUGGCGAAAACUCAUGAAAUUUGGCAGGAUGACCGGGCCUGGUGAAAAAUUUGAUAUUCUGAAGUCGCCCAAACAAUAAAAUGCAAAAUGGCUCCAUAGCGCCCCCUAAGGUGAAAAUUCACACUAUUGACUGUCACGCCUGUACGCUUUGUCAUAUUGACACAAAAAUUGACACACAUAUGUAUCUCAAUAAGAUCUACAAAAAAGUCAGUGCGGCCGUAUCUGUCAAAAUUACGGUUAAAGGGUUAUUUCGCAUUUUUUGCCGAUCCGCACACAUUGGAAUUUCGCUAACUCCUCCGAAGGCUUUCGUUCCACCGGCACCACAUUUGCUCAGGCCAAUCUACACCCCGUGGCCAUUAAAAGUUAUCAAAAUCAUGACGCUGCACCCCAAGGUUUAGGUUCUAGGGGGCGCCAAAGAUAACACUAAAAUCCACAUAUUUAAAAGUCUUAUAACUUUUUAUUUUUGUCCUCACUGGCCUCCAAGUUUUCUAGGAUGAUGCAAUGUCCAGCCAUCAACACAUUUGUGAAGGAAUUUUUACUCCCCAAAAGAGCGCCCCCCCAUGGCAGGAGAAAAAAGUCCAUUUUUUCAUGUCCCCUAAGGUGAAAAUACACAUUGUUGAGUGUCACGCCUAUACGCUUUGUCAAAAUGACACAAAAAUUGACACACACAUGUAACUCAAUAAGAUCUACGAAAAAGUCAAUGCGCCCGUAUCUGUCAAAUGUACGGUUAAAGGGUUAUUCCGCAUUUUUUGCCGAUCCGCACACAUUGGAAUUUCGCUAACUCCUCCUAAGGCUUUCGUUCCACCGGCACCACAUUUGCUCAGGCCAAUCUACACCCCAUGGCCAUUAAAAGUUAUCAAAAUCAUGACGCUGCACCCCACGGUUUAGGUUCUAGGGGGCGCCAAAGAUAACCCUAAAAUCCACAUAUUUAAAAGUCUUAUAACUUUUUAUUUUUGUCCUCACUGGCCUCCAAGUUUUCUAGGAUGAUGCAAUGUCCAGCCAUCAACACAUUUGUGAAGGAAUUUUUACUCCCCAAAAGAGCGCCCCCCCAUGGCAGGAGAAAAAAGUCAAUUUUUGUCUUGUCCCUUAAGGUGAAAAUACAUAUUGUUGAGAUUCACGCCUAUAUGCUUUGUCAUAUUGACACAAAAUUUGACAAUCACGUGCCUUGCCUGGUAUCAUUUUUUUCAGCACAACCUCACCUGUGCGAAUUUACAGUUAUUUUAUCAUGUUGACAUACUGAAUUUACACAAUGGACCCAAAUUCACACACAAAACAUAAAAUCCGAGUGGAAAAAAGUAACAUUUUUACUGUGAAAACCACAAAUAUGUGUGAUGAACUGUUUUUAAAACUUAAACUUCAAAUAAAAAUUGUAAACUUCAAAACAUAUGCAAAUUUUUAACAAAGAACAUAGUGAUUUACCUCUAUUUACAUCAAAAUGCAGGCAAUGGCCCAGGCGUUCUUUGUAAAAUUAUUUACAAAACACUGUAUAGUCUCACAAAUGUCACUUUUUAUUUAUGCCACUACAAAAAAACAUGAUGUAAAUGAUGCAUGAUGUAAAACAUGAUGUAAAAAACUUGUAUAGAUCCUCCUCUAUGUCAGUCCAUGUGUAAUUUUUCCAUAAUUCUUUGUUUUUUGCAGCAUUUUUGUUAGUGUAACUGCAGAUUGUGCUGACAGUGUCUAUGGCACAAAAAAAAAAAAAAAAUUAAAAUGCCUCAACAUGAACCCCUGGUGGUCUCUGAGGUUGAAACCUGCUAACUGCUGCAGCUCUGUCAGCUUCAGUCUCCCAUGCAGAGCUCUGAGCGCAUGUGUGGCUCUGCACCCUUAGCAGCGUUGCUAACUCCUCAGUAAGGAAAGCCUGCUUCAUGUCAGAGUCUCUAAACUCCAGAAGAAGUCGAUAAAAGUCCCUUUCUUUCUAAAAAAAAGUCGUUAGGGGGUCUGAAAAGUCAUUGAAUCUAACAACAAAGUCGCUAGGUUUGCAACUACGUGUCCCAGACUGCAUCCCUGCUGAGAGUCCCUCCCUCCCUUCUCAUGUUGCAGGAAGAACGUAAGCGCCCGCCCCUUGUCAAUCAGUCACCAUAUAAUUUUGGAUUGGUUGUUGUGGUGAAGUUUUCCACCAAUAGGAGAGAUGUUGUGGUGUGUUUUUUUUUUCUUUUGGCAAGCCUUUUCCGCCUGUAAGAGCUGUCGCUAAUGUCUGCAUGCUAUGUUUUCCUGUCUCAUACAGCGCGAUCGAGCGCCGAACGUGAUCAAAAUAAGCAGAAAAAAAGUAUCGCGGACAUAAUUUAUCAUAACUCUGGUUUUAUUUGGCCUAUCAACACAAUUUAAAAACUGGUAUAUAGGUUGAGGUCCUCACUUUUGAGAUAAGUUGAAACGGAGAGUCAACGAGGCUCCGUCUUGCAGCUACAUCCGGUUAAAUAUGUCAUGUGACUUGAACGCACACACAGACACACACACACGCACACACACACACACACACACACACACACACACACACACACACACACACACACACACACACACACACACACACUCAGAGUCUGGUUUUUAGCACCUGCAAAAACAUGCUAUUUACAUAUUUGACAAGAAUGCAGAGGCUCCUUUUGCCCCUGAAAAAAAUCAAAUUUCAAACACAACUUGACUGCUCAUUUCUCCAAAAGACAACCAUGAAGCUCCAUCCAAACCUGAAGCAGGCAGUUGGUGCAUGUGUACAGUAACCUGAGGGGAGUGAGGUGAGUGCUUCUGAGGAGAACAUGAGCAGUGAAGAUUCACCUUGGAGCUAGAACAGAGACAUGCACAUGAUUAUACAGGGGCAGGGGCUCAAGUUUUUUCCAGUCGUUUAUACAAUAUGGAAAUUAAUGUGAAAUUAAAACACAAAGUAUUAAUAGAAAGGUAAUGACUGUCCUGUGUAGGUGACAGUGAUAUCCAAUAGGCUAGGCACUCACGAGGCUGGCUGUGGCAAGUGUAAGUGAAAGCAACACGCACUGGCAGGAAGAACAGCAAACGCAGAUGAAGGAAAAGGGUCUUUGCAGUGAUGGGCGUUACCAGAGAGGGCGAUGGCCAGAGGACACAAAUGGGACGGGGAGGCAGCACGUUGGGGGGGGGGGGGGACGCGACACGGCUCGGGCCCGCCAGUGCCCCAACGGGGUCCUAGUUAUUUUUCCUCCCCUUUGAACUGGAAAAUGGCCCACUUCCCACUGGCGAAAACUCAUGAAAUUUGGCAGGACGACCGGGCCUGGUGAAAAAUUUGAUAUUCCGAAGUCGCCCAAACAAGAAAAUGCAAAAUGGCUCCAUAGCGCCCCCUAAGGUGAAAAUUCACACUAUUGACUGUCACGCCUGUACGCUUUGUCAAAAUGACACAAAAAUUGACACACACAUGUAUCUCAAUAAGAUCUACAAAAAAGUCAGUGCGGGCGUAUCUGUCAAAUAUACGGUUAAAGGGUUAUUUCGCAUUUUUUGCCGAUCCGCACACAUUGGAAUUUCGCUAACUCCUCCGAAGGCUUUCGUUCCACCGGCACCACAUUUGCUCAGGCCAAUCUACACCCCGUGGCCAUUAAAAGUUAUCAAAAUCAUGACGCUGCACCCCAAGGUUUAGGUUCUAGGGGGCGCCAAAGAUAACACUAAAAUCCACAUAUUUAAAAGUCUUAUAACUUUUUAUUUUUGUCCUCACUGGCCUCCAAGUUUUCUAGGAUGAUGCAAUGUCCAGCCAUCAACACAUUUGUGAAGGAAUUUUUACUCCCCAAAAGAGCGCCCCCCCAUGGCAGGAGAAAAAAGUCCAUUUUUUCUUGUCCCCUAAGGUGAAAAUACACAUUGUUGAGUGUCACGCCUAUACGCUUUGUCAAAAUGACACAAAAAUUGACACACACAUGUAACUCAAUAAGAUCUACGAAAAAGUCAAUGCGCGCGUAUCUGUCAAAUGUACGGUUAAAGGGUUAUUCCGCAUUUUUUGCCGAUCCGCACACAUUGGAAUGUGGCUAACUCCUCCUAAGGCUUUCGUUCCACCGGCACCACAUUUGCUCAGGACAAUCUACACCCCAUGGCCAUUAAAAGUUAUUCAAAUCAUGACGCUGCACCCCACGGUUUAGGUUCUAGGGGGCGCCAAAGAUAACCCUAAAAUCCACAUAUUUAAAAGUCUUAUAACUUUUUAUUUUUGUCCUCACUGGCCUCCAAGUUUUCUAGGAUGAUGCAAUGUCCAGCCAUCAACACAUUUGUGAAGGAAUUUUUACUCCCCAAAAGAGCGCCCCCCCAUGGCAGGAGAAAAAAGUCCAUUUUUUCUUGUCCCCUAAGGUGAAAAUACAUAUUGUUGAGAUUCACGCCUAUAUGCUUUGUCAUAUUGACACAAAAUUUGACAAUCACGUGCCUUGCCUGGUAUCAUUUUUUUCAGCACAACCUCACCUGUGCGAAUUUACAGUUAUUUUAUCAUGUUGACAUACUGAAUUUACACAAUGGACCCAAAUUCACACACAAAACAUAAAAUCCGAGUGGAAAAAAGUAACAUUUUUACUGUGAAAACCACAAAUAUGUGUGAUGAACUGUUUUUAAAACUUAAACUUCAAAUAAAAAUUGUAAACUUCAAAACAUAUGCAAAUUUUUAACAAAGAACAUAGUGAUUUACCUCUAUUUACAUCAAAAUGCAGGCAAUGGCCCAGGCGUUCUUUGUAAAAUUAUUUACAAAACACUGUAUAGUCUCACAAAUGUCACUUUUUAUUUAUGCCACUACAAAAAAACAUGAUGUAAAUGAUGCAUGAUGUAAAACAUGAUGUAAAAAACUUGUGUAGAUCCUCCUCUAUGUCAGUCCAUGUGUAAUUUUUCCAUAAUUCUUUGUUUUUUGCAGCAUUUUUGUUAGUGUAACUGCAGAUUGUGCUGACAGUGUCUAUGGCACAAAAAAAAUAAAUAAAUAAAAUGCCUCAACAUGAACCCCUGGUGGUCUCUGAGGGUGAAACCUGCUAACUGCUGCAGCUCUGUCAGCUUCAGUCUCCCAUGCAGAGCUCUGAGCGCAUGUGUGGCUCUGCACCCUUAGCAGCGUUGCUAACUCCUCAGUAAGGAAAGCCUGCUUCAUGUCAGAGUCUCUAAACUCCAGAAGAAGUCGAUAAAAGUCCCUUUCUUUCUAAAAAAAAGUCGUUAGGGGGUCUGAAAAGUCAUUGAAUCUAACAACAAAGUCGCUAGGUUUGCAACUACGUGUCCCAGACUGCAUCCCUGCUGAGAGUCCCUCCCUCCCUUCUCAUGUUGCAGGAAGAACGUAAGCGCCCGCCCCUUGUCAAUCAGUCACCAUAUAAUUUUGGAUUGGUUGUUGUGGUGAAGUUUUCCACCAAUAGGAGAGAUGUUGUGGUGUGUUUUUUUUUUUCUUUGGCAAGCCUUUUCCGCCUGUAAGACCUGUCGCUAAUGUCUGCAUGCUAUGUUUUCCUGUCUCAUACAGCGCGAUCGAGCGCCGAACGUGAUCAAAAUAAGCAGAAAAAAAGUAUCGCGGACAUAAUUUAUCAUAACUCUGGUUUUAUUUGGCCUAUCAACACAAUUUAAAAACUGGUAUAUAGGUUGAGGUCCUCACUUUUGAGAUAAGUUGAAACGGAGAGUCAACGAGGCUCCGUCUUGCAGCUACAUCCGGUUAAAUAUGUCAUGUGACUUGAACGCACACACAGACACACACACACGCACACACACACACACACACACACACACACACACACUCAGAGUCUGGUUUUUAGCACCUGCAAAAACAUGCUAUUUACAUAUUUGACAAGAAUGCAGAGGCUCCUUUUGCCCCUGAAAAAAAUCAAAUUUCAAACACAACUUGACUGGUCAUUUCUCCAAAAGACAACCAUGAAGCUCCAUCCAAACCUGAAGCAGGCAGUUGGUGCAUGUGUACAGUAACCUGAGGGGAGUGAGGUGAGUGCUUCUGAGGAGAACAUGAGCAGUGAAGAUUCACCUUGGAGCUAGAACAGAGACAUGCACAUGAUUAUACAGGGGCAGGGGCUCAAGUUUUUUCCAGUCGUUUAUACAAUAUGGAAAUUAAUGUGAAAUUAAAACACAAAGUAUUAAUAGAAAGGUAAUGACUGUCCUGUGUAGGUGACAGUGAUAUCGAAUAGGCUAGGCACUCACGAGGCUGGCUGUGGCAAGUGUAAGUGAAAGCAACACGCACUGGCAGGAAGAACAGCAAACGCCGAUGAAGGAAAAGGGACUUUGCAGUGAUGGGCGUUACCAGAGAGGGCGAUGGCCAGAGGACACAAAUGGGACGGGGAGGCAGCACGUUGGGGGGGGGGGGGCGACACGGCUCGGGCCCGCCAGUGCCCCAACGGGGUCCUAGUUCUUUCUUCUUUCUUUCUUUCUUUCUUUAGGGCCCGAGCGUAGCUGCUAAGCAGCUGCGAGAGCCCUCUUGUUCCUGAUGGAUUCUUCUUUUGUUAUUAUUUAUUAGGGCCCGAGCCAGCUGCAGAGCAGCCGGGCGUAGGCCCUAUUAUUCCCCAAGUGGUUUUUCUUUGUUUCUUUCUUUCUUAGGGCCCGAGCGUAGCUGCUAAGCAGCUGCGAGAGCCCUCUUGUUCCUGCAUGUUUCCUUCUUUUGUUAUUUAUUAUUAGGGCCCGAGCGUAGCUGCUAAGCAGCUGCGAGAGCCCUCUUGUUCCUGCAUGUUUCCUUCUUUUGUUAUUAUUAUUAUUUUUCCUCCCCUUUGAACUGGAAAAUGGCCCACUUCCCACUGGCGAAAACUCAUGAAAUUUGGCAGGACGACCGGGCCUGGUGAAAAAUUUGAUAUUCCGAAGUCGCCCAAACAAGAAAAUGCAAAAUGGCUCCAUAGCGCCCCCUAAGGUGAAAAUUCACACUAUUGACUGUCACGCCUGUACGCUUUGUCAAAAUGACACAAAAAUUGACACACACAUGUAUCUCAAUAAGAUCUACAAAAAAGUCAGUGCGGGCGUAUCUGUCAAAUAUACGGUUAAAGGGUUAUUUCGCAUUUUUUGCCGAUCCGCACACAUUGGAAUUUCGCUAACUCCUCCGAAGGCUUUCGUUCCACCGGCACCACAUUUGCUCAGGCCAAUCUACACCCCGUGGCCAUUAAAAGUUAUCAAAAUCAUGACGCUGCACCCCAAGGUUUAGGUUCUAGGGGGCGCCAAAGAUAACACUAAAAUCCACAUAUUUAAAAGUCUUAUAACUUUUUAUUUUUGUCCUCACUGGCCUCCAAGUUUUCUAGGAUGAUGCAAUGUCCAGCCAUCAACACAUUUGUGAAGGAAUUUUUACUCCCCAAAAGAGCGCCCCCCCAUGGCAGGAGAAAAAAAGUCCAUUUUUUCUUGUCCCCUAAGGUGAAAAUACACAUUGUUGAGUGUCACGCCUAUACGCUUUGUCAAAAUGACACAAAAAUUGACACACACAUGUAACUCAAUAAGAUCUACGAAAAAGUCAAUGCGCGCGUAUCUGUCAAAUGUACGGUUAAAGGGUUAUUCCGCAUUUUUUGCCGAUCCGCACACAUUGGAAUGUGGCUAACUCCUCCUAAGGCUUUCGUUCCACCGGCACCACAUUUGCUCAGGACAAUCUACACCCCAUGGCCAUUAAAAGUUAUUCAAAUCAUGACGCUGCACCCCACGGUUUAGGUUCUAGGGGGCGCCAAAGAUAACCCUAAAAUCCACAUAUUUAAAAGUCUUAUAACUUUUUAUUUUUGUCCUCACUGGCCUCCAAGUUUUCUAGGUUGAUGCAAUGUCCAGCCAUCAACACAUUUGUGAAGGAAUUUUUACUCCCCAAAAGAGCGCCCCCCCAUGGCAGGAGAAAAAAGUCAAUUUUUGUCUUGUCCCUUAAGGUGAAAAUACAUAUUGUUGAGAUUCACGCCUAUAUGCUUUGUCAUAUUGACACAAAAUUUGACAAUCACGUGCCUUGCCUGGUAUCAUUUUUUUCAGCACAACCUCACCUGUGCGAAUUUACAGUUAUUUUAUCAUGUUGACAUACUGAAUUUACACAAUGGACCCAAAUUCACACACAAAACAUAAAAUCCGAGUGGAAAAAAGUAACAUUUUUACUGUGAAAACCACAAAUAUGUGUGAUGAACUGUUUUUAAAACUUAAACUUCAAAUAAAAAUUGUAAACUUCAAAACAUAUGCAAAUUUUUAACAAAGAACAUAGUGAUUUACCUCUAUUUACAUCAAAAUGCAGGCAAUGGCCCAGGCGUUCUUUGUAAAAUUAUUUACAAAACACUGUAUAGUCUCACAAAUGUCACUUUUUAUUUAUGCCACUACAAAAAAACAUGAUGUAAAUGAUGCAUGAUGUAAAACAUGAUGUAAAAAACUUGUGUAGAUCCUCCUCUAUGUCAGUCCAUGUGUAAUUUUUCCAUAAUUCUUUGUUUUUUGCAGCAUUUUUGUUAGUGUAACUGCAGAUUGUGCUGACAGUGUCUAUGGCACAAAAAAAAAAUAAAUAAAAUGCCUCAACAUGAACCCCUGGUGGUCUCUGAGGGUGAAACCUGCUAACUGCUGCAGCUCUGUCAGCUUCAGUCUCCCAUGCAGAGCUCUGAGCGCAUGUGUGGCUCUGCACCCUUAGCAGCGUUGCUAACUCCUCAGUAAGGAAAGCCUGCUUCAUGUCAGAGUCUCUAAACUCCAGAAGAAGUCGAUAAAAGUCUCUUUCUUUCAAAAAAAAGUCGUUAGGGGGUCUGAAAAGUCAUUGAAUCUAACAACAAAGUCGCUAGGUUUGCAACUACGUGUCCCAGACUGCAUCCCUGCUGAGAGUCCCUCCCUCCCUUCUCAUGUUGCAGGAAGAACGUAAGCGCCCGCCCCUUGUCAAUCAGUCACCAUAUAAUUUUGGAUUGGUUGUUGUGGUGAAGUUUUCCACCAAUAGGAGAGAUGUUGUGGUGUGUUUUUUUUUUCUUUUGGCAAGCCUUUUCCGCCUGUAAGACCUGUCGCUAAUGUCUGCAUGCUAUGUUUUCCUGUCUCAUACAGCGCGAUCGAGCGCCGAACGUGAUCAAAAUAAGCAGAAAAAAAGUAUCGCGGACAUAAUUUAUCAUAACUCUGGUUUUAUUUGGCCUAUCAACACAAUUUAAAAACUGGUAUAUAGGUUGAGGUCCUCACUUUUGAGAUAAGUUGAAACGGAGAGUCAACGAGGCUCCGUCUUGCAGCUACAUCCGGUUAAAUAUGUCAUGUGACUUGAACGCACACACAGACACACACACACGCACACACACACACACACACACACACACACACACACACACACACACACACACACACACACACUCAGAGUCUGGUUUUUAGCACCUGCAAAAACAUGCUAUUUACAUAUUUGACAAGAAUGCAGAGGCUCCUUUUGCCCCUGAAAAAAAUCAAAUUUCAAACACAACUUGAUUGGUCAUUUCUCCAAAAGACAACCAUGAAGCUCCAUCCAAACCUGAAGCAGGCAGUUGGUGCAUGUGUACAGUAACCUGAGGGGAGUGAGGUGAGUGCUUCUGAGGAGAACAUGAGCAGUGAAGAUUCACCUUGGAGCUAGAACAGAGACAUGCACAUGAUUAUACAGGGGCAGGGGCUCAAGUUUUUUCCAGUCGUUUAUACAAUAUGGAAAUUAAUGUGAAAUUAAAACACAAAGUAUUAAUAGAAAGGUAAUGACUGUCCUGUGUAGGUGACAGUGAUAUCCAAUAGGCUAGGCACUCACGAGGCUGGCUGUGGCAAGUGUAAGUGAAAGCAACACGCACUGGCAGGAAGAACAGCAAACGCCGAUGAAGGAAAAGGGUCUUUGCAGUGAUGGGCGUUACCAGAGAGGGCGAUGGCCAGAGGACACAAAUGGGACGGGGAGGCAGCACGUUGGGGGGGGGGGACGCGACACGGCUCGGGCCCGCCAGUGCCCCAACGGGGUCCUAGUUAGGGCCCGAGCCAGCUGCAGAGCAGCCGGGCGUAGGCCCUAUUAUUCCCCAAGUGGUUUUUCUUUGUUUCUUUCUUUCUUUCUUUAGGGCCCGAGCGUAGCUGCUAAGCAGCUGCGAGAGCCCUCUUGUUCCUGCAUGUUUCCUUCUUUCGUUAUUAUUUUUCCUCCGCUUUAAACUGGAAAAUGGCCCACUUCCCACUGGCGAAAACUCAGGAAAUUUGGCAGGACGACCGGGCCUGGUGAAAAAUUCGAUAUUCUGAAGUCGCCCAAACAAUAAAAUGCAAAAUGGCUCCAUAGCGCCCCCUAAGGUGAAAAUUCACAUGACGGCUGUACGCUUUGUCAUAUUGACACAAAAAUUGACACACACAUGUAUCUCAAUAAGAUCUACAAAAAAGUCAGUGCGGGCGUAUCUGUCAAAUGUACGGUUAAUGGGUUAUUUUGCAUUUUUUGCAGAUCUGCACACAUUGGAAUUUCGCUAACUCCUCCGAAGGCUUUCGUUCGACCGGCACCACAUUUGCGCAGGCCAAUCUACCCCCCAUGGCCAUUAAAAGUUGUACAAAUCAUGACGCUGCACCCCACGGUUUACGUUCUAGGGGGCGCCAAAGAUAACCCAAAAUCCACAUUCUUAAAAGUCUUAUAACUUUUUAUUUUUGUCCUCACUGCCCUCCAAGUUUUCUAGGAUGAUGCAAUGUCCAGCCAUCAACACAUUUGUGAAGGAAUUUUUACUCCCCAAAAGAGCGCCCCCCCAUGGAAGGAGAAAAAAGUCAAUUUUUUCUUGUCCCCUUACAUGAAAAUACACAUUGUUGAGUGUCACGCCUGAACGCUUUGUCAUAUUGACACAAAAAUUGACAAUCAUGUGUAUCUCAAUUAGAUCUACGAAAAAGUCAAAAGGCGCGUAUCUGUAUAAUGUACGGUUAAAGGGCUAUUUCGCAUUUUUUGCCGAUUCGCACACAUUGGAAUGUGGCUAUCUCCUCCUAAGGCUUUCGUCCCACCGAUACCAAAUUUGCUCAGGGCAAUCUACACCCCAUGCCCAUUCAAAGUUGUAAAAAUCAUGACGCUGCACCCCACGGUUUACGUUCUAGGGUGCGCCAAAGAUGACCAAAAAAUCCACAUUCUUAAAAGUCAUUUUGGCCACUGCAGGAGUACAGAGUACUGCAGUUCUAGGGGGCGCCAAAGAUGACCCAAAAAUCCACAUUCUUAAAAGUCUUUUUGGCCACUGCAGGAGUACAGAGUACUGCAGGAUACACACACAUAUACACACACACACACACACACACACACACACACACACACACACACACACACACACUCAGAGUCUGUUUUUUAGCACCUGCAAAAACAUGCUGUUUACAUAUUUGACAAGAAUGCAGAGGCUUCCUUUUGCCGCUGAAAAAAAUCAUAUUUCAAACACAACUUGACUGUUCAUUUCUCCAAAAGACAACCAUGAAGCUCCAUCCAAACCUGAAGCAGGCAGUUGGUGCAUGUGUACAGUAACCUGAGGGGAGUGAGGUGACUAUUUCUGAGGAGAACAUGAGCAGUGAAGAUUCACCUUGGAGCUAGAACAGGGACGUGCACAUGAUUAUACAGGGGCAGGGGCUCAAGUUUUUUCCAGUCAUUUAUACAAUAUGGAAAUUAAUGUGAAAUUAAACCACAAAUAUGUGUGAUGAACUGUUUUUAAAACUUAAACUUCAAAUAAAAAUUGUAAACUUCAAAACAUAUGCAAAUUUUUAACAAAGAACAUAGUAAUUUACCUCUAUUUACAUCAAAAUGCAGGCAAUGGCCCAGGCGUUCUUUGUAAAAUUAUUUACAAAACACUGUAUAGUCUCACAAAUGUCACUUUUUAUUUAUGCCACUACAAAAAAUGAUGAAUGAUGUAAAUGAUGCAUGAUGUAAAACAUGAUGUAAAAAACUUGUGUAGAUCCUCCUCUAUGUCAGUCCAUGUGUAAUUUUUCCAUAAUUCUUUGUUUUUUGCAGCAUUUUUGUUAGUGUAACUGCAGAUUGUGCUGACAGUCUAUGGCAAAAAAAACAAAAACUGAAAAUGCCUCAACAUGAACCCCUGGUGGUCUCUGAGGGUGAAACCUGCUAACUGCUGCAGCUCUGUCAGCUUCAGUCUCCCAUGCAGAGCUCGGAGCGCAUGUGUGGCUCUGCACCCUUAGCAGCGUUGCUAACUCCUCAGUAAGGAAAGCCUGCUUCAUGUCAGAGUCUCUAAACUCCAGAAGAAGUCGAUAAAAGUCCCUUUCUUUCUAAAAAAGUCGUUAGGGGGUCUGAAAAGUAAUUGAAUCUAACAACAAAGUCGCUAGGUUUGCAACUACGUGUCCCAGACUGCAUCCCUGCUGAGAGUCCCUCCCUCCCUUCUCAUAUUGCAGGAAGAACGUAAGCGCCCGCCCCUUGUCAAUCAGUCACCAUAUAAUUUUGGAUUGGUUGUUGUGGUGAAGUUUUCCACCAAUAGGAGAGAUGUUGUGGUGUGUUUUUUUUUCUUUUGGCAAGCCUUUUCCGCCUGUAAGACCUGUCGCUAAUGUGUGCAUGCUAUGUUUUCCUGUCUCAUACAGCGCGAUCGAGCGCCGAACGUGAUAAAAAUAAGCAGAAAAAAAGUAUCGCGGACAUAAUUUAUCAUAACUCUGGUUUUAUUUGGCCUAUCAACACAAUUUAAAAACUGGUAUAUAGUUUGAGGUCCUCACUUUUGAGAUAAGUUGAAACGGAGAGUUAACGAGGCUCCGUCUUGCAGCUACAUCCGGUUAAAUAUGUCAUGUGACUUGAACGUGGGGAGCGUCAAUCGAAUCGAAUCAAACCUAACUCUCAGAUGAAUCUUCAAAAUUCCCCUCAGAAAUAUGCUUAUUAUUCUUCUCAGAGUACUGCAGGAUACACACACACACACACACACACACACACACACACACACACACACACACACACACACACUCAGAGUCUGUUUUUUAGCACCUGCAAAAACAUGCUAUUUACAUAUUUGACAAGAAUGCAGAGGCUUCCUUUUGCCCCUGAAAAAAAUCAAAUUUCAAACACAACUUGACUGCUCAUUUCUCCAAAAGACAACCAUGAAGCUCCAUCCAAACCUGAAGCAGGCAGUUGGUGCAUGUGUACAGUAACCUGAGGGGAGUGAGGUGACUGCUUCUGAGGAGAACAUGAGCAGUGAAGAUUCACCUUGGAGCUAGAACAGGGACGUGCACAUGAUAAUACAGGGGCAGGGGCUCAAGUUUUUUCCAGUCGUUUAUACAAUAUGGAAAUUAAUGUGAAAUUAAAAAACAAAGUAUGACUGUCCUGUGUAGGUGACAGUGAUAUCCAAUAGGCUAGGCACUCACGAGGCUGGCUGUGGCAAGUGUAAGUGAAAGCAACACGCACUGGCAGGAAGAACAGCAAACGCCGAUGAAGGAAAAGGGUCUUUGCAGUGAUGGGCGUUACCAGAGAGGGCGAUGGCCAGAGGACAUGAAUGUGACGGGGAGGCAGCGCGUUGGGGGGGGGGGGGUGCGACACGGCUCGGGCCCGCCAGUGCCCCAACGGGGCCCUAGUCUUCUUCUUCUUAUUAGGGCCCGAGCCAGCUGCAGAGCAGCC